rnacentral:piRNA from 1 species
UNCUUUCCAGAGUUUUCAGCUGUUAUCAGU